UCGAGGGGCAGCGGGGGUGCAGGCUUGCCUGCACCUGCCGGCGACCGGCGCUUAGGUGAGUAACACGUAUGGAACCUGCCCGCCACAGGGGGAUAACCCGGGGAAACCCGGCCUAAUACCCCAUGCCGCCCGGACCGGGCAUCCGGACCGGGCGAAAGGAGGAAUCCGGUGGCGGCUGGGCAUGCGGCGCAUUAGCUUGACGGCGGGGUAACGGCCCACCGUGGCGACGAUGCGUAGGGGUUCUGAGAGGAAGGCCCCCCACACUGGAACUGAGACACGGUCCAGACUCCUACGGGAGGCAGCAGUGAGGAAUAUUGGUCAAUGGGCGGAAGCCUGAACCAGCCAAGUCGCGUGAGGGAAUAAGGCCCUACGGGUCGUAAACCUCUUUUGCCGGGGAGCAAGGGCCGGGACGAGUCCCGGCCCGGAGAGUACCCGGAGAAAAAGCAUCGGCUAACUCCGUGCCAGCAGCCGCGGUAAUACGGAGGAUGCGAGCGUUAUCCGGAUUUAUUGGGUUUAAAGGGUGCGUAGGCGGGCUUUUAAGUCAGCGGUAAAAAUUCGGGGCUCAACCCCGUCCGGCCGUUGAAACUGGGGGCCUUGAGUGGGCGAGAAGAAGGCGGAAUGCGUGGUGUAGCGGUGAAAUGCAUAGAUAUCACGCAGAACCCCGAUUGCGAAGGCAGCCUUCCGGCGCCCUACUGACGCUGAGGCACGAAAGUGCGGGGAUCGAACAGGAUUAGAUACCCUGGUAGUCCGCACAGUAAACGAUGGAUGCCAGCUGUCCG
rnacentral:rRNA from 1 species